rnacentral:lncRNA from 1 species
GAUGAAAAGAUGAUGAAAACAUGCUCGAAAACAUGUUUGAAGAGUCUCGGUUCGAUUUGAAACGAAUCGGAGGUCAAACGAGCGAAAACGGGCGAAAACGGAGAAGAAACGGUGAAAAAGGCUGAAAUUUGGCUAAGUCCUUGAGGCUGAGUACUGGACCUUCGGGGACCGGUCUCUCACCGCAAGGACCGGUCUCUCAGGGACCGGUCUCUCACCGCAAGGACCGGUCCCCGAGCGCGAAAAUGGCCCAGUUUGGGCUGUUGCAAGAGAGGCUUUGUUGAGGGGUUUUUAUGCAAUUUUGCACUAAUGAGAGUGUAUAGAG